AAAUUAUCAGUAAUGUUUUGAUGGAUUUCAGGGUGCAGAGUGGACACAUUCGACUGAGUCGAGGUGUUGGUACGAGCUGACUUCAACUUUGAUCGUGGAACCAAGAUUAUCGCAGGAAACAUUCCUCGAAAGUUGGAGAUGAUUGUGCACGAAGUCGAUGCAUCAAACCAAUUUGUCGAAGGAAAAUUGGGUGAGUGGCGAUUUAUCUUUCAAAUUCCAGAGGGCAGUAGGUGAAAAAAAAGUUCAAAUCUAUACAGCAAUUUAGUGUAACAUUACAUUUUGUCUACGUACAACAUAUAUGCUGAGUCAACAAUGUUCAUCAGUCUUUCGACCAAACUUGGGUGCACGGCUACGAUAUGGAGACAAAACGCCAACCGUCCGUGUGGGCCGAAAAAGGUAGUGCAAGACCGAAAAUAGAGCGACGAGCUUGGUCAAAGGUGACAAUCGCAGAACACCCAUGGAGGUUGCCUUACUUCAAACCACGCACAAACAAAGGUAAUUAAGAUGUUUAAAAUUUGCGAAUGCAGCGUUCUUAAGUAUAUUUCCAGCUAUCAAGAGAAUGCAAGGUAACUUAAUUCAGCAGCGGGAGUGGAAGCGGGAGCCGACGAAGAGGGCCGUAUUAAAGAUUUAACUAUUUCAAACUUAUUUAGCCAAAACUCUGUAUUUACAUUGACAAUGAGCAAUUUAUUAACACAUGCUCACGCGCUCCGGGAGUUCUCCCAUCUUCAGAGCAUGUAACGAACAGGAGACACAUCCACUAAACACUAUUACAUGGUAAUAAUACAAGAGUCUAUGCAUGCAAAGCUUCGAAUUUUUUGAUCACUGACUGGCGAGGAGCUGGCAUUUAUAUAAUCACAACAAGUGAUCAAGAUCAAACUUCAAACGUUUAUAGGCACAUGGUAGAUGAAAAUCAUAAGAAAUGUACAUUAGAGGAUGUUAUAAUUCAUUAUACCAGCGCGGAUAGAGAAUCGUUCAGAAUUCAUGAAAAUCAUGAGGUCCGGAAAAAUCUAAUUAGAAUUCAGAAAAUGCUCCAUGUUCAAGUUGAAAUUGACAACUGUUGGAAACGUUCUUAUCGACAAGUGCUGUAAUCUCUGAUCGGCUGGGUCCGCUUGUUGUGAUCACCUGAAUACCAACUCCUCGCCAGUCAGUGAUGAAAAAAUUCCAAGCUCUGUUCGCAUAGACUCUCGUAUUAUUACCGUGUUAUAAUGUUCAGUGCAUGCAUUUUCUGGUCGUUGAAUGCUCUGAAGAUGAGAGAACUCCGGAUA